rnacentral:rRNA from 1 species
CACGUAGGGCGCAAGCGUUGUCCGGAAUUAUUGGGCGUAAAGGGCGCGUAGGCGGCUGUACAAGUCAAAGGUGAAAUCCCUCGGCUCAACUGAGGAACUGCCUUUGAAACUGUACGGCUUGAGGCCGGGAGGGGGUAGCGGAAUUCCUGGUGUAGCGGUGAAAUGCGUAGAUAUCAGGAGGAACACCGGUGGUGUAGUCGGCUUUCUGGACCGUAACUGACGCUGAAACACGAAAGCGUGGGUAGCAAACAGG